rnacentral:rRNA from 1 species
CAUGAAGCCGGAAUUGCUAGUAAUGGCAGGUCAGCAUACUGCCGUGAAUACGUUCCCGGGCCUUGUACACACCGCCCGUCACACCAUGAGAGUUGGGAAUACCCGAAGCCUGUGAGCUAACGUUAAGAGGCAGCAGUCGAAGGUAGAAUCAAUGAUUGGGGUGAAGUCGUAACAAGGUAAC